AUUGAACGCUGGCGGCAUGCCUUACACAUGCAAGUCGAACGGCAGCACGGGAGCAAUCCUGGUGGCGAGUGGCGAACGGGUGAGUAAAGUAUCGGAACGUGCCCAGUCGUGGGGGAUAACGUAGCGAAAGUUACGCUAAUACCGCAUACGAUCUAUGGAUGAAAGCGGGGAAUCGCAAGACCUCGCGCGAUUGGAGCGGCCGAUAUCAGAUUAGGUAGUUGGUGGGGUAAAGGGUCACCAAGCCGACGAUCUGUAGCUGGGCUGAGAGGACGACCAGCAACGCUGGGACUGAGACACGGCCCAGACUCCUACGGGAGGGAGCAGUGGGGAAUUUUGGACAAUGGGCGAAAGCCUGAUCCAGCCAUGCCGCGUGCAGGAUGAAGGCCUUCGGGUUGUAAACUGCUUUUGUACGGAACGAAAAGGUUUGGCCUAAUAAGCUGAGCUCAUGACGGUACCGUAAGAAUAAGCACCGGCUAACUACGUGCCAGCAGCCGCCGUAA
rnacentral:rRNA from 1 species